rnacentral:rRNA from 1 species
UGACGUCAAAUCAUCAUGCCCCUUAUGACCUGGGCUACAAACGUGAUACAAUGGCUGAAACAAAGGGCAGCGAAGCAGUGAUGUGGAGCGAAACCCAAAAAAGCAGUCUCAGUUCGGAUUGAAGUCUGCAACUCGACUUCAUGAAGUCGGAAUCGCUAGUAAUCGCGGAUCAGAACGCCGCGGUGAAUACGUUCUCGGGGUUUGUACACACCGCCCGUCAAACCACGAAAGUUUAUAAUACCCAAAGCCGGUGGCCUAACCGUAAGGAGGGAGCCGUCUAAGGUAGGAUCAAUGAUUGGGGUUAAGUCGUAACAAGGUAUCCCUACGGGAACGUGGGGAUGGAUCACCUCCUUUCUAAGGAGA